GGGUUUGGGCUUUGCUUGCGCAGGAUAGGUGGGAGGCUUUGAUGGUAUUCUUGCGGGAAUAUCGGAGCCAAUGGUGAGAUACCACUCUAGUAAGGCUAAAAUUCUAACUUCGAACCGUUAUCCGGUCGAGGAACAGUUUCAGGUGGGCAGUUUGACUGGGGCGGUCGCCUCCUAAAAGGUAACGGAGGCGUGCAAAGGUUCCCUCAGGCUGGUUGGACAUCAGUCGUAGAGUGUAAAGGCAUAAGGGAGCUUGACUGCGAGACCAACAAGUCGAGCAGAGACGAAAGUCGGCCUUAGUGAUCCGACGGUUCCGAGUGGAAGGGCCGUCGCUCAACGGAUAAAAGUUACUCUAGGGAUAACA
rnacentral:rRNA from 1 species